UCCCUGGUGGCUCAAAUGGUAAAGCGCCUGUCUGCAAUGCGGAAGACCCAGGUUCGAUCCCUGGGUUGGGAA
rfam:TPA: Bos taurus chromosome 6, whole genome shotgun sequence.